AUUUGAAGCUAGAGGUGUC
rnacentral:snRNA from 1 species